ACCACGAAGGGGUUGCGCGCGGAGAUGAGGAUGUCGCGCUCCGCCAGGAUGCUCUCCACCGCGUUCUUCCGGAUCAUGUCCGCCUUCCGGAGCACCUUGAUGGCGAACAGGUCGCCGGUCACCCUCUUCUUGGCCAGGAACACGCGGCCGAAGGCGCCGCGGCUGAUGGGCUUGAUGAUCUCGAAGUCCUCGAUGGACGUGCGGUCCUUGAACCUGUUGCCGCUCAGCGUCGCCCGCGAGCUCGCCGUCGUCCCGCCGCCGCUCUCCGUCGUAGUCGGGCCCUCCUCGUCGAUCGGGUGCAGGUGCUGCAGCAGCAGCUGCUGCUGCUCCGCCGCGCCGCCCGUGUCGUCGAUCUGCACGCACAGCUGCAUGAACUUCUCCUGCAGGAGCUUGGCGAUCCU
rnacentral:misc_RNA from 1 species